AAUUAGGGCAAUAAUGUGAAAUUAUUGGAAUCCUUUUCAUACAGUUUCACAGACCCCUGUUUAUGGGGUAGAUGAAAGGGGCUGAAUUUGUUACAGGGAAAUCAUACUAAUGACUUUCAAUUAAAAGAAUCAACAGUAAUAAUGGGUGCAUCUGGGCACUCGGGUGUUUGACUUGUUGAUGACGGGUGAUUAUCUCACCAGGCUAACAGAUUGUAAGCUGAGCAUCAUGGGAUACUGGAAGAAAGGUUGGGGACACUUUCGGGGACAAGUUUUUGUGAUAAUUGCUCAAUUAUUACGCUAGCUGUCACUCUUCAACCUCAAGGACAAUUUAAUCAGACUAAAAGGCAGGUGCACCAGUGAUGUUCAACACUUUAUGGGACACAGAAGUAAUUGGUUACCCACUGUACCUUCAAUCAUUGAGGACAGAGGCUGGCUGGUUUACGAGGAGUAGAGACAUAUUCAAGCUGAAGCAGAGGGGCAUUUAGGACAAGCUGCCAACAAAAAAAAAAAACCAAAGCAUAAAUGUUAUAGGACAUACUUCCACCUAACAGACAAAGGUAUCAGCAUUCUGGGACAUGCUUCCACCUAACAGACCAAGGUAUCAGCAUUCUGGGACAUGCUUCCACCUAACAGACCAAGAUGGGCAACACUUUUGUUAUCAAUGAGAUUCCUGUCUUCAUUAAGUGCUGGCUUGUCAAAGACGGUGUCUCUUCUUAGAGCAGCAAUUAUAAUCAACUUUAAGCAGUAGGUGCUGGCUGGACUCUUCAUCAAGUUGUUUCAGAUCAUCCUCACUUGCAGUGGAGACAGACAAGUAGAAAAAAAAACUUAAUGACUUUUUUGACAUUUCACCACCUGCCUUUUUUUGGCGUAUAAAUGUAAGAGUAUUACAGGUGAAUUAUUUCAGUUAAAAAUUGCAAAAAUAAUUAUCUUUACCAGCAGAUUUUAUAUGCUGCAAUGAGCAACAAGUAGAGUACAUGACACUCGAAAAAUCUGACGCGACUUUUUUACCCCCAUCUGCCUACCUGUGGCUGGCCAAGUGUGAAUUCUCGCCCAAAGUUACAGAAAAUUACAUUUACAUAUUGGGCUUGCUUACUUUUAAUACGUUUUCAAAUUGCUUUAAAAAGAUCACCUGCCAAUAUUGAAGCAUUAUUGUGGUUUUUGAUCAAAUUUUAUCUAAAUAUCUCAGUGUGAAGUUUGCUUGACUCGUGUAUGUCUCGUGGCAGAUUAAAAUCUCGUCCAAUCAAAUUACAGGAAAUCUACAUGUGCUAACUCAACAAGUGUAAUGCACUUGAGCCUUGAGGGUGACAAUAUUUACUUUCUUAUUGGGAUGUUUUGAAUGAAUUGAAAUAUUGUUUCUAUGAACUAUAGGACCCCAAAAAUUGUUGCUCAAAAUUUAUUAUUUAUGUUUUUUGUCCUGUCUUUAAUAGCAUUUUCACCUAUACGUUGUUGAAGAGCAUGAAUGAAAAGAUCCUACAGAAAUUUAUAGUGAAUGCAUCAAUAACUUUGUGGCGUUUUAUUUUCUAAAUGUCAAAAACUUCUGUUGUCUUCAGAAAACAUGUGUUGCCAGGUACAAUAGAUCUUAUUUUGAAUGCAUUUAAGGAGUCAGUGCCUGAUUAUUGAAUGAAAUCUUUUAUAUUCAAAUUUUCAUGUGACAGAUACAACCACAAAUAAAAGAUUCAAUGACAUCAGUUUAAGUUUUGAUCUUAAAUUUGCAAGCUGUUGCAUUUUGUUAGCAUUUGUUCCACUGUACAAGUACACCAUUCCUCUUUCCCUAGAUAUGUAAAUGUCAGGAACUUUGUAAACCUUUCACCUAUGACUAAUUUAACUCCAGCCAUUUAGCUAAAUAAUGGUAUACCACAACACUUUAAAAAUUUGAUUCCACCUUGAGGUGCC